rnacentral:rRNA from 1 species
CCUACGGGAGGCUGCAGUGGGGAAUUUUUCGCAAUGGGCGCAAGCCUGACGAAGCAACGCCGCGUGGAGGAUGAAGGCCCUAGUGGUCGUAAACUCCUGUCUAGCGGGACGAAACUCACCAAUGCAAAUAGCGUUGGUGAUUGACUGUACCGCUGGAGGAAGCUCCGGCCAACUCCGUGCCAGCAGCCGCGGUAAUACGGAGGGAGCAAGCGUUACUCGGAAUUACUGGGCGUAAAGGGCUCGUAGGCGGCCAACUAAGUCAGACGUGAAAUCCCCAGGCUCAACCUGGGAACUGCGUCUGAUACUGGUUGGCUUGAAUCCGGGAGAGGGAUGCAGAAUUCCAGGUGUAGCGGUGAAAUGCGUAGAUAUCUGGAGGAAUACCGGUGGCGAAGGCGGCAUCCUGGACCGGCAUUGACGCUGAGGAGCGAAAGCCAGGGGAG